rnacentral:rRNA from 1 species
GACGAACGCUGGCGGCGUGCUUAACACAUGCAAGUCGAACGAUGAACCGGUUUCAGCCGGGGAUUAGUGGCGAACGGGUGAGUAACACGUGGGCAAUCUGCCCUGCACUCUGGGAUAAGCCCGGGAAACUGGGUCUAAUACCGGAUACGACACUCCGAGGCAUCUUGGGGUGUGGAAAGUUCCGGCGGUGCAGGAUGAGCCCGCGGCCUAUCAGCUUGUUGGUGGGGUAAUGGCCUACCAAGGCGACGACGGGUAGCCGGCCUGAGAGGGUGACCGGCCACACUGGGACUGAGACACGGCCCAGACUCCUACGGGAGGCAGCAGUGGGGAAUAUUGCACAAUGGGCGAAAGCCUGAUGCAGCGACGCCGCGUGAGGGAUGACGGCCUUCGGGUUGUAAACCUCUUUCAGCAGGGAAGAAGCGAAAGUGACGGUACCUGCAGAAGAAGCACCGGCUAACUACGUG